GACUCUCGGCAACGGAUAUCUCGGCUCUCGCAUCGAUGAAGAACGUAGCGAAAUGCGAUACCUGGUGUGAAUUGCAGAAUCCCGCGAACGAUCGAGUCUUUGAACGCAAGUUGCGCCCGAGGCCACUCGGCCGAGGGCACGCCUGCCUGGGCGUCA
rnacentral:rRNA from 1 species